rnacentral:rRNA from 1 species
UACGUAGGUGACAAGCGUUUGUCCGGAUUUACUGGGCGUAAAGAGCGCGCAGGCGGUCGUUCAAGUCGAGUGUGAAAGCCCCCCGGCUCAACUGGGGAGGGUCAUUCGAUACUGAUCGACUCGAAGGCAGGAGAGGGUAGUGGAAUUCCCGUGUAGUGGUGAAAUGCGUAGAUAUCGGGGAGGAACACCGGUGGCGAAGGCGGGUCUCUGGGCCGUAACUGACGCUGAGGAGCGAAAGCGUGGGGAGCGAACAGG